rnacentral:misc_RNA from 1 species
AAGUCGUAACAAGGUUUCCGUAGGUGAACCUGCGGAAGGAUCAUUACCGAGUUCAUGCCCUUCGGGGUAGAUCUCCCCACCCUUUGUAUACUAUACCUUUGUUGCUUUGGUGGGCCGCCUAGCUACUGGCUUCGGCUGGUAAGUGCCCGCCAGAGAACCCAAAACCCUGAAUUAUUAGUGUCGUCUGAGUAAAAUAUUUAAUAUUUAAAACUUUCAACAACGGAUCUCUUGGCUCUG